rnacentral:lncRNA from 1 species
CUUUCUGGCUGCUUGGAUAAACCUAAUUUGAUGCACAGGACAAAACUGAAGAUGUAUAUUUUGGCCUUUUGUGAUCAUACCAGGACAGAAACACCACUGGAAAAACCAAUUGUUCCCUGAAUUCAUUAUUAGGUAAAAAAGGAAUCCUGUUUUGCAUUGUUGUAAUUUGUAGGGUUGUUGGCAAUGACAGGUGUGGGAAUGAAAUGCAGCGACGAAAGUUAAGUUGUAAUUUUACAUAGUUCCCCUUCAAAUUCAAAUUUCAUGGACAUUGUGCUGCCACGUAGCUGGCCCCACUUUGACGACAGCGUAUACCAGCUGUUAAACAUGAUCUAUUUAUGACCAAUAACCGAGAGGGGUCAUCAUUUAACCCGCGGGUCUAAAAACCCUUGGUCCAUAGAUUAGCCCAUUUCGGCGUGGCUUGCAGGCUGACCUAUCACAUGUCUAUAAAAGCCUGUUAAACUUAUCUUAAAAAACUCGUUCAAUUCUAAUAUUAAUUUUUUAUAAAAUUGUUAGUUGAAUUUGUGAACUAAUAAUGGAUUAUGUUAUACCUUUAUUUAUUUUUUAUUACAUUUAGUUUAAACAUUAACAUAUAUAUAUAUAUUUUUUUUAUCAUACAAACUACAAACAACUGAAAUGCUACAUCAAGUACAUCGAGUAUAUCGUGAGUUCUCUCACUUAUAAAGAAGAGACUAAUCCCAUCAGACCAAAUGGUAUUGAGUUUUUUUAAUAAAUUUAUUUUACAUAUAAAUAUAGUAGGCCCUGACCUGCUCUGUAAAAGCCCACAAGACCCGAUAUUUUUAUAUGACCGACUGGACCCGGCUCUAAAUUUUAAAAUAUUAGUCGUAGCCCGGUCCGCUCUGGCCCGAGCCCAUUUAGUUUGGGCUCAUUGACGACCCCUACCGAUGAAACAAAAGCAUUUUCUUUUUUCUUUUUAGAGAAGGAAACGAAAACCAUUUCCUUACAGUAUUAUAUUUCCUUUUAGNNNNNNNNNNNNNNNNNNNNNNNNNNNNNNNNNNNNNNNNNNNNNNNNNNNNNNNNNNNNNNNNNNNNNNNNNNNNNNNNNNNNNNNNNNNNNNNNNNNNNNNNNNNNNNNNNNNNNNNNNNNNNNNNNNNNNNNNNNNNNNNNNNNNNNNNNNNNNNNNNNNNNNNNNNNNNNNNNNNNNNNNNNNNNNNNNNNAUGAAUUAGAGUGUGCUAUUUGUAUGGAAAUGUUUGCGCAUGCCAGCAAUACCAUCACUCGGUUGCCCUGCUCACACUAUUAUCAUCGAGAUUGCAUUAUCGCGUGGCUCCACAUGAAUCAUCUCUGUCCUACUUGUCGACACCCUAACCCUCAAUCUACUCAAUGAAGCUAGCUAGCUGCUCUGCAUUUUUUGGGCAUAACCAGCUGCGUUGGUAGUGUCACUAUGCUCAGACUAUUACCUUGUUUUUCUUUCCAUGCCUUGAUCAUCCAUCAUUUGUAUAAUUUCUAUUUAUAAAAGUCCAGUGUUAGAACAAAUUUCAAACUCUACAUUACAUACAUGCUGUUCAAUCUUCCCAUUUGCUGUUAAUUCUAUUGUUUGCUAAACUGCUUCUUUUUUCUUUUCUUUUUCUUAAUGGUGCUUCUGGCAUUCUCUUCCUUGUUUGGGUUCACCAUGGUUUAUAGUCUUGUUUGGAGUGCUAGGUUGUGGCCUCUAUACAUCUUUGUCACGAUUUUUGAGUCUAAGCUGUUGGUUCAUAUAAGUCUCAUUUUAGUUUUCUAUUUAGCUAUUCUUCUUUAUCUUGUAGCCUUUCCGAUUGCUUCUAAGAAGAAUGGUCGGUCUGCCACAAUGAACCAACACGACAUCCACACAGUGGCAGGUAAACAUAUUGAUUCCUUCUUCUUGGACUGGCUGACUGCUUAAAUUUAUUGUCGUGACUAAUCAAAAUUUACUAAGUGCCAUCAAAGGAGAUGGUCAUAUCAUAUGCUUGUACUAGAGAAUAAUGAAACUCUGACAUGCUGCCAGGUUAGGACCUAAAUAUGUUAGAAUGGAAUUGGGAACAAUGGUUUAGGGUAAAUUAGAAGCUACCCAACAAACUAGGUGUAAGUUAAGUUAAUUGUUAAGAAAUUUCUGGACACGAUGAGAGAUGUAUGUGUUUUGUCCAUAUAAAUAAAGGGAACCCUGCCGAUUUCUUAGCGUGACAGGUUUGUAAUGGUAGUCAUAGUUUGGUUGAUAAGGAUUGCGUGUAUCUUGAUAAUAGAUUGUUGAAACAUGAAUCACUAUAAAGAUUGCCAUGAAGCAAGGCAGGAAAGAACAUGUAUAGAAAAUUAUAUUUGAUUAUCUUAAUUUGAUGAUUAACAGUUUCAUUGAUGCAAUUUUCAAAUGAAAUUUUCAGUUGUCCAUCCAGUGUGUAGCUUUAUCAUUUGGAUCUCCUUCAUCAAUAUUGAACUAAAUGCAUUUUAAUUUUGUAUGUUGUGCUAGGCCGAGGCUGCUGCCGCUGCCGCCCUCAUCGCCGAGGCGGCCGCUGCUGCUGUUCUUGAAGCGGCGGCUGCUGUCCCAGCUGUCCCCGAGGCGGCUGUUGCUGUUGUGGACAUAGCGGCAAUCCAGCAGAUAACAAAUGCAAGGGUUUCAGCCUUGCACAACACUACGGUAAGUUUUUUCAGUAGUUUUAAUAAUAUUUUUCAUUUUCAUGUGCUUUCAUGUUAACUUUUUGGAGCUUAUGUUUGAGCCGCGGUAAGUUUUACCUCAGGCUGAUAAAGGAGAAGAACUUGCUGAUAUCUGUGCUUGACCUAUCUAAUAUAAGGACAAUUGUUUUCUAUUACUGCCACCUCAUCCAAGAAGAGGUAUAUUUUUUCCCUAGUUUCAACAUAUUUCUUUUGUUUGUUUAUGGUUCAUACUUGGUAUUUCUUUGAUAAAUGCAUAUAGAUUUUGCAUUUGUUUAGGUAGGUUUGUUCUUUUAUUGUUUUUCUAAUGGCUUGAUGAACUGUGGAGAAUUUGUGUGCUCUGCCUCCUGAUUAGGGACUAGGGUUUUUCUAGCAUCUCUUGUUUUUAUCGAUCUUUCUGAUUUAUGUUUUUAUAUUUGCAGCGUGUGCAAAGGUGGCAAACAAGAAGGGUGGCACACUUUCUUCAAGAGAGGAUGAACCACGACAACCAGACGGUUGGUCAGGAGCUUGAACGUGCGAGGAACCGGAUCCGAUUUGAGCGGUUUUGCCGGUGUGCUGCCUGCCCUGCAAUAUAUGCCCCUUUAUUCGAUAUGGCGUUGUUUGCAACUGCCAUGGGGUGGGUGAUCCUUAAGGAGCGUGAAGCGCGGAUCGACCUCAACAUUGUGUUAGCCUUGACAAAGGCGUGGUUGUGGUGGUGGAAGAGAAACCCAGAAGGCAUGCCGUGAAGACCAACAAUAACUGCAUACUAUAUAGCUUCAUGCCUCCCAGUAUAUUCCCCUUGAAACAAAUUAAUGGUACAGUGUAGGGUCAAGAGCUUGAAUGUGCAAGGAACAAGAUCCGGUGUGAGCAGUUUUGCCGGUGUACUGCCUGCCUUCGUAUAUUGUAGGGCAGGCAGUACACCGGCAAAACCUGAUCUAUUUAUGAUGGUGUUAUUUUACACCAGUGAUGAAAGUUAAGUUGUAAAUUUACUUAGUUGCCUUCAAAUUCAAAUUUCAUGGACAUUGUGCUGCCACGUAGUUGGCCUCACUGACGGCGUAUACUAGUUGUUAAACAUGAUCUAUUUAUGACUAAGAAGGGUCAUCAUUUGGCCUGCGGGUCUAAACCCCUUGUCCAUAGAUUAGCCCAUCUUGGCUUGGCCUGCAAUCCUACCCAUGACAUGCCUAUAAAAGCUUGUUAUGGCGUACAAAAAUGACGGCGUAUACCUGCUGUUAAACAUGAUCUAUUUAUGACUAGGAGGGGUAAUCAUUUGGCCCGCGGGUCUAAAGGCCUCUUGGUCCAUAGAUUAGUCCAUCUCGGCUCGGCUUGCGGUCCGACCCAUUACAUGCCUAUAAAAGCCUGUUAAGCCCAUCUUAAAAAAGUCAUUCAGUUCUAAUAUUAAUCUUUUAUAAAGUUGUUAGUUGAAUAUAUAUGUGAACUAAUAAUGGAUUAUGUUAUACCUUUAUUUUGUUUUUUUUACUUCAUUUAGUUUAAGCAUUAACACAUAUAUUUUUAUCAUACAAAUAACUGAAAUGUUACAUUGAGUCUAUCGUGAGUCGAAUUUACGACCUCCCGUUUACAAAAGAGAGAUCAAUGCCACCGGACCAAAUGAUACAGAGUCUUUCUAAUUAAUUUAUUUUUCAUAUAAAAAUAGUAUGCCCCAAUCUACCAAUCAAAAAUGGCCAGCCUGACCCGGUCUGUAAAAGCCUAUAAGACCCAAUGUUUUGAAUAUGCCUGACCCGACCCGGUUCUAAAUUUUAAAAUAUUAGUCGUAGCCCGGUCCGCCCUGGCCCGAGCCCAUUUAGUUUGGGCUCAUUGACGACCCUUACCGAUGAAACAAAAGCAUUUUCUUUUUUCUUUUUAGAGAAGGAAACGAAAACCAUUUCCUUACAGUAUUAUAUUUCCUUUUAGAGAAGGAAAAGAAAAGGGCAUUUCCUUUAUAUAUAUAGAUAGAGAUAUAUAGAUAUGGUUGGUAAAGGUAGUUUCCUAUCUGUGGUUGAUUUAGGUUGAAAUUAGGUUAAAACACCCACCCCN